rnacentral:rRNA from 1 species
ACUCCUGCGGGAGGCAGCAGUGGGGAAUAUUGCACAAUGGGCGCAAGCCUGAUGCAGCCAUGCCGCGUGUAUGAAGAAGGCCUUCGGGUUGUAAAGUACUUUCAGCGGGGAGGAAGGCGAUAAGGUUAAUAACCUUGUUGAUUGACGUUACCCGCAGAAGAAGCACCGGCUAACUCCGUGCCAGCAGCCGCGGUAAUACGGAGGGUGCAAGCGUUAAUCGGAAUUACUGGGCGUAAAGCGCACGCAGGCGGUCUGUCAAGUCGGAUGUGAAAUCCCCGGGCUCAACCUGGGAACUGCAUUCGAAACUGGCAGGCUAGAGUCUUGUAGAGGGGGGUAGAAUUCCAGGUGUAGCGGUGAAAUGCGUAGAGAUCUGGAGGAAUACCGGUGGCGAAGGCGGCCCCCUGGACAAAGACUGACGCUCAGGUGCGAAAGCGUGGGGAGCAAACAGGAUUAGAAACCCCAGUAGUCCC